rnacentral:rRNA from 1 species
AGCAGCCGCGGUAAUUCCAGCUCCAAUAGCGUAUAUUAAAGUUGUUGCAGUUAAAAAGCUCGUAGUUGAAUUUCGGGAUCAAUUUAUUGGUCGUGCUAUUGUACGUACUGGUAUUAUUGAUUCCUACCUUCUGACGAACCACGAUGUCAUUAAUUUGGUGUCAUGGGGAAUCAGGACUGUUACUUUGAAAAAAUUAGAGUGUUUAAAGCAGGCUCACGCUUGAAUACAUUAGCAUGGAAUAACGAAAUAGGACGUUUGAUUCUAUUUUGUUGGUUUCUAGGAUCGACGUAAUGAUUAAUAGGGAUAGUUGGGGGCAUUAGUAUUCAAUUGUCAGAGGUGAAAUUCUUGGAUUUAUUGAAGACUAACUACUGCGAAAGCAUUUGCCAAGGAUGUUUUCAUUAAUCAAGAACGAAAGUUAGGGGAUCGAAGACGAUCAGAUACCGUCGUAGU